CUUUUUCGUUUGAUGAAAAAGGUGAGGAAUGUUUGAUUGCAACAUGACAUGUUGUAAAUGAAGUUCUCUUGUCCAUACUACCCAACAAAGUUAAACCUGAAAGCCUAUGCUUAUUGACUUCGCAUCCUUUUGUUUCUAACGAUGAUAAUUGAUGUUAGUGCCCUUUUAUCAUGAUGCAAAGUCAAUUCUUUAUAAGUAAUUAGAAUAAAGAUAAGAAUUCCAUGGCUUUAUCAUCUCCAUUGGCUGGCUAAGAUUAGCAAUAAAGGCAGUUUUUAGAUUCCCAACUGUGCUCAUUAACCUCUUCUGAAGUACUUAUGGUCCCUUGUGUAUCAAAUAUUACUAAUAAUGUGUAAUAUGAUAACUUGUUGCUGUAUGAAACGUGUAUCUAAUAAUCCUUAAUGGGCAUUGUCAUUCUUGUGCUAUAUUGUGUGAAUGAUAAUGUUCCAAAGACAGCAUAAUAACUAUGGUCAUAAAAUAGUCAACCUUAAUUUAUUAAUUCUGUUAAAUUUCUUGUUGGCAAAUGGUCUGUUUUUUCUUCUCAGGUCUCAAAGUACUUAUUUCUGUCUAUAAGUGAUUGAUAUGCUGAAUCAGGGUAGAGCUCUGUCAUCGCCUCAUCAUAUUUUCUUAAAGUACUACA
rnacentral:misc_RNA from 1 species